UACAGAGGUCUCAAGCGUUGUUCGGAUUCAUUGGGCGUAAAGGGUGCGUAGGCGGCGCGGUAAGUCGGAUGUGAAAUCUCGGAGCUUAACUUCGAAACUGCAUUCGAUACUGCCGUGCUUGAGGACUGGAGAGGAGACUGGAAUUUACGGUGUAGCGGUGAAAUGCGUAGAUAUCGUAAGGAAGACCAGUGGCGAAGGCGGGUCUCUGGGCCUUACCUGACGCUCAGGUGCGAAAGCUAGGGGAGCGAACAGG
rnacentral:rRNA from 1 species